GCUGUGGUGCUCUGAAGAAGCCAAGGGGCACUGGCAGCUGCCUGGCUUGUGGUGGGACCUUAGCUCUGUGGGCUCUACCUGCAGUACCAACACGGGCACUGAGCUCUGGCUCUGUACUGGUAGCUGUGUGGCAUUCGCUGUUGAUGAGUAGCGGUGCAAUUUGAGUUUGUUAUGGUUUGGGAACCCCUGCUCUGUGGAGAUCCUGUGCUGCUUUUCCUGUAGGGGACAGGGAGUUUGUUUUUCCAGUCCUGAGCAGCCUGUUCCUCACAGGCUUUGAACUAAAACUGUCUUCUGGCUGCCUGAACCAAGGAGGAGCUCCCUGUUUUGGUGUGGGUGAGAGGGAAUUUUGGUGCUUCUUUUUUACUUCCUCUGAUCAUCAGCCCUGUCUUUUGAUGGAACAGGGACCUGAGAGAAUAAUGAGGAAGUUGUGCCCUGUAUUGGCUUAUUGCCACACUGACACCAACCCCCUGUGGCUUGCUGCUCUGCUAAUGCCUCUUAUAGCCAGCUGCUGUGAUGGCGUAUGAGUGAGCAAGGCUUCCGUGAGCUGAGACUUUCCCCUUUGGCCCCAGGAUGUACUGAUGAAGCCUUGUCCUUUUUUCCCCAGCGUUACUGCUAUGAAUAAGCCAGGCUGAAAGCUGAAGCUGGAUGUUCAGACAAGCCACCUCAAAAGGCUAUGAGCGUUUGGAGCAGAAUCUGACCCUGCUUGCUGCUGUGAAUCCUGGCCAGUUUUAUCAACCUCAUCAGAACCAGAUCGAGUGCUGGGGCAUUUGGUAGAGAUGGAAACAAAUGCUACAUACUGCCAGCAAGUGAGGCCAUGGAAGUCCCUAAGGAUUGGCUGCUUUUCCAAACCUCCUUGUCUAAUUGUACUUUGAAAGACAUGUCACAGUAUCCCAGAGCUCUCCGUUAGCUACUGAAGAGAGGAGUUGUUAACAGCAAUGACAAGAAAGCCUGCUGACUUAAAAAGCUUACCAAUCCUGAUUGGAACUGAAACAUAGAUGAAAAUACAUCAGAUAUUGCACAAAUGAUGUUGAACCAACUGUGUGGUCUGACACAAGAAGACACUGAAGCUAUGUUUCUGAUUAUGGUAAUAGUGAUAGCAUGCUGCAUCACAGACUUUUCCAGUAUUAUGUCAGGAGUCUGACACUGCUUGGUAUAUUACCUAAAUCCUUGGGUCAUCUGAUUAUUUGAGGAUUUCUAUUUUGUUUAUUAAAAGAAGAAGCUUGUGAGACA